UGAAGUCGGAGUUGCUAGUAAUCGCGAAUCAGCAUGUCGCGGUGAAUACGUUCCCGGGCCUUGUACACACCGCCCGUCACACCAUGGGAGUUUGUAACACCCGAAGUCAGUAUCCUAACCGCAAGGGGGGAGCUGCCGAAGGUGGGAUAAGCGACUGGGGUGAAGUCGUAACAAGGUACC
rnacentral:rRNA from 1 species